GAUUCCCUGCGGCUCAGCAUUUAUACACCGGAUGUGGGCUUUUCUUCAGUUUGAAUGGUUUCUCCGAGUGUGUGUGUGAGUGUCUGUCUGCCUGUAUGUAUGUUGGAGUGAGUGAUUGUGUGAAAGUAGCGUGUGUGUGUGUCUACCUAUAUAUAUAAAAACCUACACAGUGAUCUUAUUUGAUCUGAUCGGAUCUGGGCCCUACUCUGAUCGGAAAUGAUAGGAAAUUCGCUCGCGAGCCUCCAAGGCGUUGAGCAGCCGGCGAGUCAAACUCCAGGGCCUCCACGCUUUAAGUUGUGGUCAGAGGUGAUGAAUGGAUCAGAUAUACUAGUGUUCUGUGGGUUCGGGUCAUCUCGAACGUUACGGAGGACAAUGAGUAUAGAGGCGAUUCUGAUCUAA
rnacentral:snoRNA from 1 species